UAACACCUCAAAGCCCUGGGUUCCAAGUUUCACACGAGGAAUCAAUCCACUUUGCUGUGCAGCCAUUUUGGUUUCUCAGUAAUAUCAAACUCCUAAUUGCAUAUAUCCAAUCCCCUUUGCAUCUAUAUAUAACAAGUGCUUAAUUUCACUUCUUUUCUUUGAUCUUUAAUUUCGUCACUGGAUGUGUCAGCAGGGUUCAUUGUUUUCAUCACUGAAUAUGUCACUAUAUAGCGAUGAGGUCUUCUGAAAGAAACAGAAGAUUCAAGGAUUGUAUAUUAUAUUCCCACCAUUGAUAACAGAUUCCUAUCUGGGACGUAUAUGGGUGGCAUAGAAUUGAUGGCAGCAUGAGAGAGGAUGAUGAGGUACCGAAGUGCGUUCCUAUCAUCAAAGUUCCAUGAACCAAAUCGCCCCUCUCUACGGCACGACGGCGUCACCAAAGGGCGAUUCUCUAAAUCAGAUACAAUACCCUCUAUUUCGUAGAAACCCUAAAUCAGAUAGAGGCCGAUGCUCUACAUCAUAUCUUCCAUAAAGCUUACUAACGUGUCUGAAAGGGAACAACAUUCAGGGUAUUCCAUGUGAGAGCUUGAACAUCACAAAAUAUGAUUGAAAACUGAGCAUAGGAAGAGCUAUACGCAGGUGAUGACUACAAGAUCAAGGUUUGGAACUAAAAGUUGUACAUGGGAUUGUUCACUCUUCUGGGUCACCUUGAUUACAUUCGCACCGUCCUCACUAGCCAGCAAGAGAGGUUGGGGAAGGAAGCCGAUUUCUGAAUCAUGUGUUCUCUCGCCUGCAAUAUUUCACACAUAUACCAGGAACCAUUUUUGUUUUCAUGGUGCAGCCUCAGAUUACAACAGCUGCUAUGAAGUUCACAUCCAACCCUACUAUUGCUUAUUGCAGGACCUUGCCUAAAGUUCAUUUGCUAUGAAUUCUCGAACUUUAAUAUUGAGGUGAGUUAUGAAGAACUAUAUCUAGAACUAAAUCCUAUUCUGUUCUUGUGCCAAUUUUUAAGUACUUUUGAUCUGUGAUGUUUUUUCUCUAUUUAAUUCUCUGUUUGUUUGCUGAUCAAAAUCUAACUCUCAAUGUUUGUCAAUAAUGCAUGCUUAGUCUAUCAUAACAUCAUAUCUGAUGCUACAGAUAGAGUUUUGCAUGAGAUUUCAAAGAGCUUUUGAUAAGAUGUAUUUGUUGUCUCUCCAGAUAAUUUAUCCUAAUAAUUGUUUUUAAGUAUGAGUAGUUAAAGUGAAUCAGUAGAGAUUCUUUUCUCCUAAGAUUGAUAUUUGUGAUGGAAACUACCUUUAUUCUCAUAGUUGAUUGUAUCAGUUUGAGGUCCUUGGGAGGAGACGAUAGUUGUCGCAGGUUCAUCAAGGUUCAUGCUUUCCCUGUUAACUUUCUUACCCUUUUGCAAUCCUUUUCAUCUCACUUUAUUUCUGCAUUGGUUCUUUUUAGUUCUAAAUCAAUAUAAGUUUUUGAGAAUGUCAACGAGAGAUUGAAUUGAGCAAAUAUCUCACAUGUCACAUUUUGGUUCUAUUCUACAAUCAUUGUGCCAGCGGAGUAAGAAAACUAUAGGGAAUGUUGUUUGGAAUCUGUUUUGGGUGGUUUAAAGGGCACUGAGCCAAUACUUAUUGUGAUUGCUUUUAACAUUGAACAAGCAACUAUCCCUUAAAUUUUCAUUUACCUAAAGAAAUUUAAAUAAUCUCUUCAGUUUGCGAUAUAGUGAGAGAAAGCAUUACCCUUCUCAAAAACUAAUUUAUAAACCACCAAAAUUCAAAAUGAGCAAAACUCAUCUCUUAAUGCUCCUACCUUGUGUACAUUUCAGAUUAGCUUCCUCUGGAAAAUCAAUCAAAAUUCAAAUGCUUCAAGCUUCUGAAGCUUGCUACCAAACUAUGUCCAUAAGUAACUAUGGUACAAAAUCUACAUCAUGUUAUCCUUGCUAAAUAUAGGACUUCAGAGGUCACAACAUCAACCAAAUUGGUCGUAGAAACUUUGUAUACGAUAUAAUGUUGAAUUGUAUCCAAACUCACAGAAGGUUUUCCAGUAGAAGUCACUUGAGUGUAACACGCUCAACCUAAUAAUUUACAAUACCUUGGUAAUCUUCUGUAUAAUGAAGACAUUCUCUUUGCCAUUACGCUUAACGACAUUCUUUUUUUCUUUUUCAUAUGCCAGUUGUUUAUAACUUCUCUCCACAUUUCUAUUGAUGGUAUCUCAUAUAUUGCAUUCAGUGUGUGUGUUGAUAGUCGUUUUGAGGAACUUGGGUGGCAUGUCUUUGGGCAAUAAAUGGUUACACUAGCUAUGAUGAUAGUCAUGCUACCAUUAAGGAGCAAAAGCUGUCAGAGACAAACCCACACCAUUUAAUUUUUGGCAUCCAAUCAGAACUAGCAGAAUCUGUCAUUCUUGUGGCACUGAUGUGUUUAGAGACUCUUCUUUCCUUCAAAAACUAAAAUUUGAUCUUUUAAACAUCAAGAUGCAUCUUCCUAAAUUUAUAGAAUGCAGCUUUGUGAGAUGAAUAAGGUCUGAGGAAUGAGGGAUUGGGAUUGAGCAGGCUUCUAAGUGGAAGUGUGCUAUUUUUUAUCAGCAUGUAAGUAAUUAAAAAAGAAAUUAACAAACCCAAAGACUACUAAACUAUCAAGUGAUGGCUCAAUGGUCUCACCUGGUGUAUUAAGGUUGUUCAAUUUUAUCUUUAAUUCAAUGCUAUGAUGAGUUCUAAUUGUUUUGAAGCUCUUGACCAUUGAUUCAAUGAAUAAUUGAUUAGUGACCUUUUUCAAUGCACAUGCUCAGUUGCUCUAUGACUGUACUCUGUAGAAGAAAAUUGAUUGUUGUCAUGAGGGUCCAAAUUAACAUUAAGUUUAUUUAAGUUUCUCACAGCCAUUUUUUCAAGCACUGUGCCACAAGAAAGAAGACAUACUUCUCUAUUUUUUUACUUUUAUUUUGCUUCACAUAAUUGCUAAAGGGGAUCCAUCAGAUUCUAUUUAUAUGGAGGUAGAGCGGGAAAGGUUGUCAUAUAAUAACCAAACUUUCUCACAAUGCAAUAAGUCUGGAAGGGUGGACAAACCUUGACCCCUGAGUCAAGGGAACAUCUCAUAUAUAUUGAGGUUUUAUGAUUAAACUUUCUAUUUAUACUCAUUGUUAUGAAUAAAAUUUACAUUUGUUUGUUGAAAACAUGAGAUAGCUUAAAAGAGAGGCAGAUAUUGAGCACACAUGCAGAAGAGGAAAUCAAAAUCUGGUAGAAUGAACCUAUAUUCGAGAUGGUGCCUUCCUUUGAGCUUGAAGCAAAGGAGUUUACAACUCAACUGGCUCAUCGCCUGUGGACUGACAUAGAGGACAUGGAACACUUUACAAAGAGUGGAACUUUUAAGGAGAUAUUUGGACUCAACUUUGCCCCACAAUUUUCAAGUAGGAAAUCAUUUUGUUGACAGCCAGUGCGUGGCAUCUUUUAUGAGUUUUAAUGUAGUUUGAUAUGGCCAUGUAAAAAUUUCCCAUCUCUAUGUAUAACAUAGUGAAUUCUUUUUUCUGAAACUAUAGAAACAAUUUGAUUUAUGUUGUAUGUUUUUUACUCUUAUUGUCAGAGAUUUGUUUAUCUGUUGUA